GCCGUCGUAGCUCAGUUGGUAGAGCACCACCAUGGUAAGGUGGGGGUCGUGAGUUCAAGCCUCAUCGUCGGCU
rnacentral:tRNA from 1 species